rnacentral:SRP_RNA from 1 species
GAUUGGGUCUUGCGCGGCGGAGACCUUCGAACCCCGCCAGGUCCGGAAGGAAGCAACGGUAAGGAGAUCACUCCGGGUGCCGCAGGGUUGCCUGGUCCUC